GAUGAACGCUGGCGGCGUGCCUAAUACAUGCAAGUCGAGAGAACGGACGAGAAGCUUGCUUCUCUGAUGUUAGCGGCGGACGGGUGAGUAACACGUGGAUAACCUACCUAUAAGACUGGGAUAACUUCGGGAAACCGGAGCUAAUACCGGAUGAUAUUUUGAACCGCAUGGUUCAAAAGUGAAAGACGGUCUUGCUGUCACUUAUAGAUGGAUCCGCGCUGCAUUAGCUAGUUGGUAAGGUAACGGCUUACCAAGGCAACGAUGCAUAGCCGACCUGAGAGGGUGAUCGGCCACACUGGAACUGAGACACGGUCCAGACUCCUACGGGAGGCAGCAGUAGGGAAUCUUCCGCAAUGGGCGAAAGCCUGACGGAGCAACGCCGCGUGAGUGAUGAAGGUCUUCGGAUCGUAAAACUCUGUUAUUAGGGAAGAACAUAUGUGUAAGUAACUGUGCGCAUCUUGACGGUACCUAAUCAGAAAGCCACGGCUAACUACGUG
rnacentral:rRNA from 1 species